GCAAUUCUAUUUAAGUCUAUAAUUGAAAUUAAACAAAAGUAAAUUUGGACGAAAUGUUAUGAAGGUUCAUCAUUUUAUAUACAUUUAGUUAUAAAUAACCAUUAUCUAAGUUAAAUCAUAAAAACUAUUACCUCUUUAAUCAUCGGUCAUUUUGACCGCUCACGGUAGGAAUAGGAGCGUCCUGUUUUGCGAUCAAGUUUUCAGGACAGAAAAAAAAUUUAAAAAAAUACAUAAAAAAGCUCCGCUCCCCAGCGGCUUAAACCCAAAAAUUGUAUUAUACAACGAAAAAUGUAAAGCGCCGACACAUAAUACAGCAUGGCUACGUCGUAUCGCCGCGUAUCGGUACCUUUGCCUAACAUAUCAUUACAAAAAUUCACCGUUUAUUGUGAAUAUGUACCUAAAAUUGUAUUCUUAGGCUCAAUAAACAACUUUAAAUCGUAAAAAUCGUAAAUCGGUAGGAAUAGAUAUACGCGAAAUGUCGGUAGCUUUAGUGUUAAGCCAGUGAAAGAUCCGGCAAACGCGUUUUUCUCUCGAUGUCUCACGCGGACCAAAAGUACAUACGUACUUUGGCAUGGUAUGGCAUUAGUCCAACCGUUUUGCUUCUCUUGGGCUCGCAGACGCCACUUGCCAGACAGCACAACCGUCAUCCAACUUCGUAUAUACGUCUCAGGCUGAUAAUAUUGAGGAACUGUGCAAGAAACGGAAAACGAUUGUCCUCCUUCAAAGCAGACACGGAAAUAGACGCGACCGAGAUGAACAUCUUCUGCUUCAAUGAAUUUUGGUAUUCGAACAAUAUAUUCGAUCGCUUGCUUCGCCAUCAAAGAUAAUAUUUGCUUUUUAUAAAUUUUCCGUUGAAAACUUGAAACUAGUUAUCGGUGAAUUCGUAUGGAAACUAGUAACAGUAAAUUCAUGUUAAAUGAUCGAUUUGUAUUGAAAUUAGCAUGGAUAAUUCGACAUAGCUGAAAACUAUGCACAAAUUUUUAAAGAAGAAUGGAGGGAGAAAAGGAGAGACACGGGAGGAGAAUGAGAGUUUAGAAAAAAAAUAAGAAUAAAAGGAAAAAUAAAAUAUAAAAUUCAAUGUCAACGGAGGUGUAUAACAACUGGAUGAUAGAUAUAAAAAUUGAAUAUGUAUUUAGAGCAAAAAGUUUCUCAAAGAGUGGACUAAAACUAAGAAAAUACAUGCAAAGAAAAAAAGAAGAUUAUAUCACAGGAAGUCGAAGCUUAUAAUGGAUGUUAAAAAAGACCAAGUAGAAAAGAGGGACAAAAUACAAAAAGCAUAAGAAAGAAAAAGAUGUGAAAACCGUAUAAAAUAAAUAAGAAUGUGAGGCAGAAUAGCUUAAAGUAACACAUACAGAGGUAAAAUCAUGUAUCUUGCGAGAAGGGAAAUAUUACAUUUAAAAAUAUAUAUUAUAAAAGAAAUUUAUAUGUCGUGAUCUAAGUUACAAUUAGGUAAAUACAAAAUUUUAGUUAAUUAUAUACCGGUAAGAUAAUAAGUUUCACUUAUAAAAUUGUAACACACGUGGAAGGUUCAUAGGGUGUACGUAGUCAUUUAAUUCUUAAGAGUGAUUUAAUUUAUAUGAGUAACUUAUACAAGAUGUAUAAGGUCCCGAUAAUAUGUUAAAGUAACGUUUUAAACAAAAGUUAGUUAGUUUUCGGUUCACUACAUACUUGGGGUUAGGUAAAAACAGAAUUUUUCAAUAAAAAAAUCAGGAACAUAUUGACUUUUUUAAAUAGCACCAUAUAUUUUGGACUUCACAGAAUUAUAGCUGAUAUCAAGAUGAAUUCAAUGACUUACUACACUAUGAUCUUGAGGUGAUCUUGAAAUGAACUUUAAGUUCGAUUAACAGCAAUAGUUCAUCGUAGCGCUCAAUGCAAAACAAUAUUAUUGUUACCUUUGCAUAUUUCUAAUAAACUUGUUUUAUUUUUUUCGUCUUCCUAAGAACGGAUUUGUUCAUUCCAACGAACUUAGGUCAACCUAGAACGGGACAUCGAAUUUUGUUGU